UUCGCAAUGCCCGAAAGGGUGACGAAGCGACGCCGCGUGGAUGAAGAAGGCCUUCGGGUUGUAAAAUCCUGUCAGGAGUUAAGAAAUGUAGGUGCGAUAAUACCGUGCUUAUUUGACAAAGGCUCCAAAGGAAGCCACGGCUAACUCUGUGCCAGCAGCCGCGGUAAUACAGAGGUGG
rnacentral:rRNA from 1 species